GGGCCCUCUGUCCAGUGUCCUGUGUCCCCGGCGCUGGCCCUGUUCCCCUAUCCCCCUCUGUCCCCCUCCUGCUUCACCCUUUCCAGGUCUUAGAUCUCUUGAUGCACCUCUUGGCAUCUUUGUCUCUUUGUAUCUAAUUGGCUCUUAGUAGUUACUUAUGAAACAGUCUGUAAAACUAUGUCUCCAUCAGGACACCCCAAUACAAGAGUCCCCACUGGCUGGUACGAGAUGCCAGUAAUUACGUUUCCCCUCUUGUGGGAACGAGGCGUGGGGAGCAGGCAGGGGACCGAGGGCCAGCCCCUCAGGAGCUGCACUGACCGCUCAGAAACGCUGACCACCUUCGGGAAGGCAGCUCCCCGGCUUUCCCGGGCAGCCCCCAGGGCGGGGGCUCCUCCCUCAGCCCCGGCUCAGCCUCCAGAGCGAAUGAGGGGCUCGGUGCAAACGGCCGCCGGUGAACCCGUUACCCAUGUGAAAAUAGCACUGGAUCUGACUGAGGACGUUGGAGUGGGAGAGGCAGAGCCCUUGUGGUCCUUCCGAUCCAGGGCCGAGCCGGCCUCCUUGUCAGCGACUCGCAGGGCGGACGUCGCGGCUGAAAACCAGCUAAAGCCGGAGAAGUUCCUGUGCGGGGAGAAGAAAGAGCGGGCCAGCUCCCGGCUUCUGUCUUCUUCCGGACCAGUGGCCACCGCAGGGCCUUGGCUUCGUCUGGCCUCACUUGAACUCUCUGGGCUGGCCCCGCCCCCUGCCGGCUCACCGUGGGCGGGGUCUGGGCCCGCGCUUCCUCCGCUUCCUGGGGGAAGAGCCCAGGGUGGGGAGUAAGGCAGAAAAGAGAUGUAAAGGAGAGCGAGCUGGCUGCUGUGAUGUGGUCCUGUCGCGGGCAAGGCUCCGGGAGUGAGUGAGCCUGCAGGACGGUAGGUCUGGAGACGAUGCCCCCCAGCCGCCCAGAGUCUCAGGCUCGGCUAUGGGGUGAAGUCUCUUCUCAACAGUCAGGUUAAGAAAAGGCAUAAACAGUGCGUCUGCAGCUGGAGCCCUGGAGCCAAAGGACACGGCAGUUAACGCCGGGGGUGAGGGGGAGGAGGGCGACUUGGGGAGACGCUCAGCGGGCGUGGUAGUUUCAGGAAAAGCUUCAGACUUUCAACAAAUCCCUUAUCCCCCUUCUCUCUCUUGCCCUUCCAGCCGCUUCAGAAUUGAUAUGAAGUUGCUGUUUACUAACUCGGCUCUGCCCAGACUUUUCCAGACCUUUUGGGAGAAAUGGCAGUUUUCACUGCAAAGCGUUCUCACAGCUAAAGUCCUGAGGGGUGUGCGGUGCGGGGCCCGUGUGGGCAGUGACUGAGCACAGAAGGCGUCCACACCCUCCCACGGCUGGGGUCCCUGCCUCCAGCCGGGUGGGGAGGUCGGGGGCUCUCGAGGUGAGCGGUGUGAGCCCAGGCGUCACCCUCGGCCCGUGUGCUGGGCGGCGCCUCUUCUGCGCCCUGGGGCUGCUUCUCUGCAGCUGUCACCAGGCCAGCUUCCCCUGCCUCUGUCUCUCCUCCAUCCCAACCUCCCGCCCCGUGGAGAGGACAGGGUGGUGAGGUGUAGGCAGCGGUGGGCCAGCCUGGGGUUCUGUGGCUCUGAAGUGUGCGGAGGCUCACUCCUCCCCCCGGCCCUGAGGGGGGCAGUUUGGUCCUUGGUCACCCAGACGCAGUCAGGGUCCAGGACGGCACCUUCUUGCCCGUGGAUCCUGGCCCGAGGGGCUAGAGGCAGGAAACGCACCCAGAGCCUCACUCUCUCUGUUCCCCCUGCAGUGGUCACAUCACGUCUGCACCAAGGUCGCAUCACCGAGACUGUGCACGGGGACCUGGACCCACCCACGCACAUGCUCCUCCAUGGAUUGAAGAGGGAAGGUUCCCGGGAACAGGCCUCCACCUGCUUCCAAACACAUCUGUGGAGGGGAUGCUGGCUCCUGCCUUGUGAAGCUCAAGCUGGAGGACAAGAAACCCCUCCUCCUUCCCCUGCAUCCCCAGGCCUGACCUCAGAUGGAAUUGGUGACCAUGACCGUGCAUGGUGCUUGCAGGUGGGGGCCAGUGUCCUUGCUCUAAACGCAGGAUCUUCCCCUGCCUGUCGAGUGUGUAACCCUGAACUCAAAUGGGCUUUUUGGCUACAUUUGUCAAAUCAGCUCAAUCCAACACUGCCUCGAAAGGGUGCGUUUAAAAUAAGAAAUGAGUUGAAGAAUGCAAAAUAUAGCCCACAAGACAGCAUCAUCCCACGUGCUUCUCCUUAUGUCUCCUGGGCUCCUCAGGCCCCUCCUUCUGGCCGCUGAGCCGCCUCCUGUAGACCCCCAAGCCCGCACCGCCCACUGUGGGGCAGCUGAGGGGACAGGUCCACGUGACAACAUCAGAGCCAUUAUGUCAGGGAUCUGAGUCCACCAAGGACACACUGGAGUCCCACGGGGCUUUGCUGAGGGUAGGUUCAGGUGAGAUCAGUGACUCUCCAUCGCAGCUGGGCCUCAGGGUCAUUGGAGGAGAUUUAUGUGUUUCUAUCCAGGCCUUAUCCUGGAAAAUUCUAAUCAGAAGAUAUGAGGUGUAAUUCACAAGACUGUUUAAAAAAAUCCAUAGGUGAUUAUGCUGCAUCCAGUGUGAAAAUCCAUAGGUGAUUAUGCUGCAUCCAGUGUGAAAACCACUGGACUAGAUCAUUGGAAAUGGUAUUGAAAUGAAGAUUGUGUCCAUCGAAGGUGGGUCAGGUUUGGAUUUGCCUCACUGAACUGAUUUAAAAACACAGGAUUUUGGGCUGUGUUUCUAGUUCUUCCUGGAAGAGGCGUGGGCUGUGUGGCACCUGAAGGCUUUUCAUGGUCCAGAAUGUCCCUUGUAUCACGUCAGCUUUACUUGUGUGAGGGCAGGACCCCGGCAUGUGAAAAAAAAAAAAAAUCACUUGCUUCCGUAUGUGCCAUUUCAGCUAAAAUGUCACCUCAAGGGCACAGGAACCAAAGUCACUUCCGGGGCCCCCCUCCAGUUCCUGCUGUGAUGCCGAUCACAGCGGCCUGGGUGUCUUCCCCACCUGGCACGUCUAAUCCCCUGAUCUGAACACCCGGCUCUCUUGUGACCCAGCACAGACUCUCCAGGAGAUUUCAAAGCUUCCAUCCCAGCCGGGUGGCCCAGAAUCUUCCAUCCUGGUUAUCCGCCAUCCUGCCCAUUGAGGUGGCUGUCACCCUGUGAGGACCACUAGACGCCUUCAGGAGGGAACAGCGAAGUGACCUAAAUCUCUGGCUGGAGGAGGCGCAUCCUAUGCUCGCUCUCCUGUAGCUGGUGCUGCAGAUGAGCCAGGGUGCCCUGUGUGUCCUGGUUUACGGAGCGGAAGGUAUGGUCACCCACGAAACCGUCAGGGACCUCUCUGCACCCAGGGCAGGUUCUAAGGCAUGAAAGAUCAAUUCUGUGGAGACUCCUUGGCCCCAGAGCUGCUGGGGAAUCUGCCAGAGAGCCCAUGGUUUCCAUAGAAACUACGGAUGAGUUUAGCAUGAGUCCCCGUCCUGCCACUCGGGUCCUAGAAGAAAGAUCAGUAGCAGGGGGGCAAUCGCUGGGCUAGGGCUCCCUGCCCCCGGCUGUGAGCGGACCAAGCCCGUCGGGAUGAGGCCCACGGGGAGGAGACGGGCCCUUCUCUACCCCGAGAGGAGGCCCAAGUCUUGGAUCCGUUUGGAAGACCCAACGCUUGCAUCUUUCGCUCCAAUGUAAGUCCGAGUUAGAAAUUGCCUUUAACCUAUAAAUCACUGCAAGUACUUUUGCAGAGGCAAAGUUGAGAACUUAUCUGAAUAAACUAGAAUAAAAUGUGUAAACAGUGCAAUCAUUCCGCUUCUUCUGCCUGUUUUUCCUUUGCUUCUGGAAUCCUGAGCAUAAGUGUGGACAGUACACGCUCACGCAGCCC